AACAUUGUUAUCUUUGGUGGCAUUGAUGGUUUUUCUCGAAAGAUAAUGUAUCUUGGUACAGCUCCCAACAACCUGGCAUCUACCACACUCGCUUUCUUUCAAGGUUCAGUGGAGGAGUUUGGUUUCCCCCUCAGGGUACGUGCUGAUCAAGGGGUGGAAAAUGUGGACGUGGCACGACUUAUGUUUAUGAUUCGUGGAACAGGAAGAAGCAGUUUCAUAUCUGGAAAAAGUGUGCACAAUCAAAGGAUUGAGCGACUGUGGAGAGAUCUGUGGACAGCUGUAACGUGCAUCUAUUAUGAUGUGCUACACUACCUUGAAGAAGAGGGAUACCUGGACAUUUCAAAUGAAGCACACCUCUUCUGUUGCCAUUAUGUCUUCCUGCCACGUCUGCAGGAUGAUCUGGAUACU